rnacentral:tRNA from 2 species
GGAGGAUUAGCUUAGUUGGUAGAGCACCUGACUCUUAAUCAGGGGGUCAUCGGUUCGAAUCCGAUAUCCUCCACCA